GCGAUGCUCGCGUCCCAGCAUCUGUGCAGUGUGCACAUGCCCCGCUCUGCCUUCGGCGGCCACAAGCGCGACGCCGACCAGCUCACCCCACGCCCAGCAGGCCAGUCCAGACAAAAACCGACAGGAGGAGCAACAACCGACUUCUUCGGUUGAACCAGACAACGGCAAGGCUCCUGCGCGAGUUUACCGUCUCCCAGCCGGACGAGAAGCCAGCGGCCGCAACAGGCUCCUCUGACAUUCUGGCCUUCGCGCCCUCCGUCGAUCGGGUGGACUCUCGUCUCGAGUAGCCUUUAGCUUGCCAAGUCAAUCAGCUAGCUCAAUAGCUUUGUUUCUUUCCCAAUCUUGUAUUCGCACCGUAAUAAAAAAAAGUCAACACUUCCCUCCCCUAUUUCGACGCUUGAUCUCUAUCAUCAGUUUGUUUGUCAUUUCUGUUUAGAGAGAUUGCAGGUUGUCAUUCAUUUUCGCGAUGUCGAUAUUUUAAAGAAAAAAAAUUCAAAUUCCCUUCGCUAUUGAAGGGAAUGAGUGAGGAAAAUUAGUUCGUUUCUCGCCCAAUCCCUCAAAUCCCAAAGAGUGCAUUGAAUCAUAUUCAGUAGUUCAUAGCGCACUGUGUAUCCUGCGUGUUCAUCGAAUAUUCGCCCCGAUUUCAUUAGGGGUCCAAAUAAAGCUGCUAUGUUAUUUGGAGUACUCAUACAAAUGGUUUUAGCACAUGGGGAAUUCGAGGUACCUUGCUAAAAUACUCCAUAAGCGCAUACGUACAGAGCGCUUGACAACGCGCCGCCAGACAGAGCUCUGUCGCGUCCGCGUGCCUGCCUUCCUGUUCCGGCGACCGUUCAGGCGACGGAGACGAGGCGACGUGAGCAGAGGGAGCAGUAGAAGCGGCGUCGGAUGCGGAAGCAGAGCGGAACGAAGCAGAGCCGCGGCGUGCUCUCCACGUCGGCCGCUACCACCACGCCGCCGCAGUACGGGCACCGCCCGGGCACCUGUAUGAUAUAUACAAUUACAGAAAGCUUCGGCUUUAGGAUGAAGGCGUGUAAUAUGAGGAUACAACCCGAAGGUAACAUGGAUGAACGCCGAAGCUAUGGUUAAAGGAGCUUCGACUUGGCAUGUUAACGAAGAUGAAGGACGAAACCGACCUAAGGGAGAAAAGACUACUUAGUCCUUGAUAGUUUGCAUUAUGAUUAAGUGUAGAUAUCAGGGGCAUGGGUGUAAUCUUAUCCAGGCUGCGUCCAGUGCCUAUAAAUAGAUGAACAGUAACACCGUACUGUUCACGCUGAGCUGUAAUCGCACUUGUGUCACUCUUGCAUUUUCACCUUCUGACAAGUCGAAGGUACCAAUGUAAUAUAAGUAAUAUGAAUAUUUACUCAUAUUUAUGAAAUGGGAAUAUAAAUAAUCUACUGAUA